rnacentral:rRNA from 1 species
CUACGGGGGGCAGCAGUGGGGAAUAUUGGACAAGGGGGGAAACCCUGAUCCAGCAAUGCCGCGUGUGUGAAGAAGGCCUGCGGGUUGUAAAGCACUUUCGGUUGGGAGGACUGCUUCUAGCACUAAUAUUGUUGGAAGUUGACGUUACCUUCAGAAGAAGCACCGGCUAACUCCGUGCCAGCAGCCGCGGUAAUACGGGGGUGCAAGCGUUAAUCGGAAUUACUGGGCGUAAAGCGCGCGUAGGCGGCUAGAUCAGUCGGGUGUGAAAGCCCCGGGCUUAACCUGGGAACUGCAUCCGAUACUGUCUAGCUUGAGUACAGGAGAGGAGAGUGGAAUUCCACAUGUAGCGGUGAAAUGCGUAGAUAUGUGGAGGAACACCAAUGGCGAAGGCAGCUCUCUGGCCUGAUACUGACGCUGAGGUGCGAAAGCGUGGGGAGCAAACAGGAUUAGAUACCCCGGUAGUC